GAAAGGAGGAUACUAAAAUAAACCGUGUCAAAAAGAAAGGAUACAUUUGGUGAAAAUCCAAUAAUAGCUUUUAAAAGUAUAGUAAGAGAGGAAGGAUAUAUAGGUGUACAAGAUCAGGGUAAAGAUGACGAAAUUAUUGUGGAUGCAAUAACACCAAAGAAAAUUGGUGAACUUUUCCUACCCACAACAAGGAACUGGAAGG